rnacentral:rRNA from 1 species
AUGCAAGUCGAACGUGAAAGCACUUCGGUGUGAGUAGAGUGGCGGACGGGUGAGUAACGCGUGGGAAUCUACCCAGUAGUGGGGGACAACUACCGGAAACGGUAGCUAAUACCGCAUACGCCCUAUGGGGGAAAGGCUUCGGCCGCUAUUGGAUGAGCCCGCGUCAGAUUAGCUAGUUGGUAGGGUAAGGGCCUACCAAGGCAACGAUCUGUAGCUGGUCUGAGAGGACGAACAGCCACACUGGGACUGAGACACGGCCCAGACUCCUACGGGAGGCAGCAGUGGGGAAUAUUGGACAAUGGGCGAAAGCCUGAUCCAGCAAUGCCGCGUGUGUGAAGAAGGCCUGCGGGUUGUAAAGCACUUUCAGUUGGGAAGAUGAUGACGUUACCAACAGAAGAAGCACCGGCUAAAUCCGUGCCAGCAGCCGCGGUAAUACGGAUGGUGCGAGCGUUAAUCGGAAUUACUGGGCGUAAAGCGCGCGUAGGCGGCUAAGUCAGUCAGAAGUGAAAGCCCCGGGCUCAACCUGGGAAUUGCUUUUGAUACUGCUUAGCUAGAGUUUGGUAGAGGAUAGUGGAAUUCCAGGUGUAGCGGUGAAAUGCGUAGAUAUCUGGAGGAACAUCAGUGGCGAAGGCGACUGUCUGGACCAAAACUGACGCUGAGGUGCGAAAGCGUGGGUAGCAAACAGGAUUAGAUACCCUGGUAGUCCACGCCGUAAACGAUGUCAACUAGCCGUCGGGUCUAUUUACAGACUUGGUGGCGCAGCUAACGCGAUAAGUUGACCGCCUGGGGAGUACGGCCGCAAGGUU